GAUGAACGCUGGCGGCGUGCCUAAUACAUGCAAGUCGAGCGAACAGACGAGGAGCUUGCUCCUCUGACGUUAGCGGCGGACGGGUGAGUAACACGUGGAUAACCUACCUAUAAGACUGGGAUAACUUCGGGAAACCGGAGCUAAUACCGGAUAAUAUAUUGAACCGCAUGGUUCAAUAGUGAAAGACGGUUUUGCUGUCACUUAUAGAUGGAUCCGCGCCGCAUUAGCUAGUUGGUAAGGUAACGGCUUACCAAGGCAACGAUGCGUAGCCGACCUGAGAGGGUGAUCGGCCACACUGGAACUGAGACACGGUCCAGACUCCUACGGGAGGCAGCAGUAGGGAAUCUUCCGCAAUGGGCGAAAGCCUGACGGAGCAACGCCGCGUGAGUGAUGAAGGUCUUCGGAUCGUAAAACUCUGUUAUUAGGGAAGAACAAAUUUGUAAGUAACUAUGCACGUCUUGACGGUACCUAAUCAGAAAGCCACGGCUAACUACGUG
rnacentral:rRNA from 1 species